rnacentral:rRNA from 1 species
AUGAAACAAGGUAUGCUAUCCAGGAAGCUUAAAGAAGCUCUUGGUAUGCCUGAUGGUGCCCCACCCCCAUGGCUUAAAAGCAUGCAGUUGUAUGGUCCUCCACCCUCUUAUCCUUGUCAGAAGAUCCUGGGUUUAAAUGCCCUAGUAUCUACCGGAGACAGUUUUGGUGAUGCACCAGGGGAGUGGGGAAAGCCUCCUAUUGGCGAGGAAGAACCUCUCAAUCGCAGCAAGCACUGGGGAGAAUGGGAGGAAGGGGAAGCGGAGGAGGUGGAGCAGGAACCAAUGGAAGACGAGGAAAUAGAAGAAUCUUAA